rnacentral:lncRNA from 1 species
AUGUGCGCCUCCGGUGAUGCCCGUGCCCAGCCCGCCCCGCGGUCCCGCACCGGGCUCCUCUGUCCCGCAUCCGGACCCGCUGUCCCGCGCCUGACUCAGUUAUUCUGCACCCGGCCCCGCGGUUUGCACCUGGUCCCGCACCUGCCCCCGCGGUCCCACACUUGGUCCAGGUGUCCCUCAGGGUUCCCCCUAUGCCGUACCCGGUUCCGCGCGGUCCCCGUUACCCCGCACCCGGUCCCGCACACGGUUCCGCAUUCGGCCCUACGCGGUCCCUGCUAUCCCGUACCCGGUUCCCUACCCGUUCCUCUACAGUCCUCGCUGUCCCAUACCCGAUGCCGUACCCGGUUUCUCACUGUCCUUGCUAUCCCGUACCCGGUCCCCGCUAUCCCGCACCCGGUUCCGUACCCAGUCCCCACUAUCCUGCACCCAGUAUCUCGUACCCGGUUCUGUACACGGUCCCGCCCGGUCCCCGUUAUCCCGUACCCGGUAUCUCAUACCCGGUUCCGCACUCGGUAUCCCGUACCCGGUUCGGUGCCCGGUCCCGCCCGCUCCCGCUCCGCUCCGGCUCUGCCGCCGCCCCUCCGCCGCCGCCGCGUGGCCGCCCCGCUCCGGCCCCGCCCCCCCCCCGCCUCGCAGCCAAUCAGCGCCCGCGGCGCGCGGCACUCUCUCUUUGUGAAUGGGAGGCGGGGUCAGCCGCGCGCAUGCGCAGCCCGCUGCUCCCCGCCCUGCCCGCGGGCAGCGUGGCCGAGUCUCCUCCCCACGUGCGCCGCUGUCCCCCGGUGUCCCUCGGUGUCCCUCGGUGUCACCCGGUCCCAGCAUCGCAGCACGGCCCGGACAUCGCAGCACGGGGGCCGGGCCGGCGGAUCUGAGGCUCCCGGGUUUGCCAGAUGGAGCCACCCCGCCAUAAAGGGCCAUAAACGGGGCAGCGGCGCCGGGACCGGCAGCGCCCUUUGGAUCCCGGCUGCUGACAAAGGCAGAUCCCGGCCGGAGCUGCCAGGCCUGCUCAGCAAAUGUUCAUGCGUGGAGCAUGUGAACAACGCCAAACAGUUGUUUUUAAAUUUUUAA